GAAUAGAUACCCUGGUAGUCCACGCCCUAAACGAUGCGAACUGGAUGUUGGGUACAUUACGGUACUCAGUGUCGAAGCUAACGCGUUAAGUUCGCCGCCUGGGGAGUACGGUCGCAAGACUGAAACUCAAAGGAAUUGACGGGGGCCCGCACAAGCGGUGGAGUAUGUGGUUUAAUUCGAUGCAACGCGAAGAACCUUACCUGGCCUUGACAUCUGUCGAAUCCUGCAGAGAUGCGGGAGUGCCGCAAGGAACGACAAGACAGGUGCUGCAUGGCUGUCGUCAGCUCGUGUCGUGAGAUGUUGGGUUAAGUCCCGCAACGAGCGCAACCCUUGUCCCUAGUUGCCAACACGUAAUGGUGGGAACUCUAGGGAGACUGCCGGUGACAAACCGGAGGAAGGUGGGGAUGACGUCAAGUCCUCAUGGCCCUUACGGCCAGGGCUACACACGUACUACAAUGGUCGGUACAGAGGGUUGCGAAGCCGCGAGGUGGAGCCAAUCCCGAGAAAGCCGAUCCCGAGUCCGGAUUGGAGUCUGCAACCG
rnacentral:rRNA from 1 species